rnacentral:rRNA from 1 species
GAUUAAGUUAUUAAGGGCGCACGGUGGAUGCCUUGGCACUAGAAGCCGAUGAAGGACGUUACUAACGACGAUAUGCUUUGGGGAGCUGUAAGUAAGCUUUGAUCCAGAGAUUUCCGAAUGGGGAAACCCAGCAUGAGUUAUGUCAUGUUAUCGAUAUGUGAAUACAUAGCAUAUCAGAAGGCACACCCGGAGAACUGAAACAUCUUAGUACCCGGAGGAAGAGAAAGAAAAUUCGAUUCCCUUAGUAGCGGCGAGCGAAAUGGGAAGAGCCCAAACCAACAAGCUUGCUUGUUGGGGUUGUAGGACACUCUAUACGGAGUUACAAAGGACGACAUUAGACGAAUCAUCUGGAAAGAUGAAUCAAAGAAGGUAAUAAUCCUGUAGUCGAAAAUGUUGUCUCUCUUGAGUGGAUCCUGAGUACGACGGAGCACGUGAAAUUCCGUCGGAAUCUGGGAGGACCAUCUCCUAAGGCUAAAUACUCUCUAGUGACCGAUAGUGAACCAGUACCGUGAGGGAAAGGUGAAAAGCACCCCGGAAGGGGAGUGAAAUAGAACCUGAAACCGUGUGCUUACAAGUAGUCAGAGCCCGUUAAUGGGUGAUGGCGUGCCUUUUGUAGAAUGAACCGGCGAGUUACGAUUUGAUGCAAGGUUAAGCAGUAAAUGUGGAGCCGUAGCGAAAGCGAGUCUGAAUAGGGCGUUUAGUAUUUGGUCGUAGACCCGAAACCAGGUGAUCUACCCUUGGUCAGGUUGAAGUUCAGGUAACACUGAAUGGAGGACCGAACCGACUUACGUUGAAAAGUGAGCGGAUGAACUGAGGGUAGCGGAGAAAUUCCAAUCGAACCUGGAGAUAGCUGGUUCUCUCCGAAAUAGCUUUAGGGCUAGCCUCAAGUGAUGAUUAUUGGAGGUAGAGCACUGUUUGGACGAGGGGCCCCUCUCGGGUUACCGAAUUCAGACAAACUCCGAAUGCCAAUUAAUUUAACUUGGGAGUCAGAACAUGGGUGAUAAGGUCCGUGUUCGAAAGGGAAACAGCCCAGACCACCAGCUAAGGUCCCAAAAUAUAUGUUAAGUGGAAAAGGAUGUGGCGUUGCCCAGACAACUAGGAUGUUGGCUUAGAAGCAGCCAUCAUUUAAAGAGUGCGUAAUAGCUCACUAGUCGAGUGACACUGCGCCGAAAAUGUACCGGGGCUAAACAUAUUACCGAAGCUGUGGAUUGUCCUUUGGACAAUGGUAGGAGAGCGUUCUAAGGGCGUUGAAGCAUGAUCGUAAGGACAUGUGGAGCGCUUAGAAGUGAGAAUGCCGGUGUGAGUAGCGAAAGACGGGUGAGAAUCCCGUCCACCGAUUGACUAAGGUUUCCAGAGGAAGGCUCGUCCGCUCUGGGUUAGUCGGGUCCUAAGCUGAGGCCGACAGGCGUAGGCGAUGGAUAACAGGUUGAUAUUCCUGUACCACCUAUAAUCGUUUUAAUCGAUGGGGGGACGCAGUAGGAUAGGCGAAGCGUGCGAUUGGAUUGCACGUCUAAGCAGUAAGGCUGAGUAUUAGGCAAAUCCGGUACUCGUUAAGGCUGAGCUGUGAUGGGGAGAAGACAUUGUGUCUUCGAGUCGUUGAUUUCACACUGCCGAGAAAAGCCUCUAGAUAGAAAAUAGGUGCCCGUACCGCAAACCGACACAGGUAGUCAAGAUGAGAAUUCUAAGGUGAGCGAGCGAACUCUCGUUAAGGAACUCGGCAAAAUGACCCCGUAACUUCGGGAGAAGGGGUGCUCUUUAGGGUUAACGCCCAGAAGAGCCGCAGUGAAUAGGCCCAAGCGACUGUUUAUCAAAAACACAGGUCUCUGCUAAACCGUAAGGUGAUGUAUAGGGGCUGACGCCUGCCCGGUGCUGGAAGGUUAAGAGGAGUGGUUAGCUUCUGCGAAGCUACGAAUCGAAGCCCCAGUAAACGGCGGCCGUAACUAUAACGGUCCUAAGGUAGCGAAAUUCCUUGUCGGGUAAGUUCCGACCCGCACGAAAGGCGUAACGAUUUGGGCACUGUCUCAACGAGAGACUCGGUGAAAUCAUAGUACCUGUGAAGAUGCAGGUUACCCGCGACAGGACGGAAAGACCCCGUGGAGCUUUACUGUAGCCUGAUAUUGAAAUUCGGCACAGCUUGUACAGGAUAGGUAGGAGCCUUUGAAACGUGAGCGCUAGCUUACGUGGAGGCGCUGGUGGGAUACUACCCUAGCUGUGUUGGCUUUCUAACCCGCACCACUUAUCGUGGUGGGAGACAGUGUCAGGCGGGCAGUUUGACUGGGGCGGUCGCCUCCUAAAAGGUAACGGAGGCGCUCAAAGGUUCCCUCAGAAUGGUUGGAAAUCAUUCAUAGAGUGUAAAGGCAUAAGGGAGCUUGACUGCGAGACCUACAAGUCGAGCAGGGUCGAAAGACGGACUUAGUGAUCCGGUGGUUCCGCAUGGAAGGGCCAUCGCUCAACGGAUAAAAGCUACCCCGGGGAUAACAGGCUUAUCUCCCCCAAGAGUUCACAUCGAUGGGGAGGUUUGGCACCUCGAUGUCGGCUCAUCGCAUCCUGGGGCUGUAGUCGGUCCCAAGGGUUGGGCUGUUCGCCCAUUAAAGCGGUACGCGAGCUGGGUUCAGAACGUCGUGAGACAGUUCGGUCCCUAUCCGUCGUGGGCGUAGGAAAUUUGAGAGGAGCUGUCCUUAGUACGAGAGGACCGGGAUGGACAUACCUCUGGUGUACCAGUUGUCGUGCCAACGGCAUAGCUGGGUAGCUAUGUGUGGACGGGAUAAGUGCUGAAAGCAUCUAAGCAUGAAGCCCCCCUCAAGAUGAGAUUUCCCAACUUCGGUUAUAAGAUCCCUCAAAGAUGAUGAGGUUAAUAGGUUCGAGGUGGAAGCAUGGUGACAUGUGGAGCUGACGAAUACUAAUCGAUCGAAGACUUAAUCAA